rnacentral:rRNA from 1 species
GUGCCAGCAGCCGCGGUAAUACCGGCAGCCCAAGUGAUGGCCGAUCUUAUUGGGCCUAAAGCGUCCGUAGCUGGCUGCGCAAGUCCGUCGGGAAAUUCACUCGCCCAACGAGUGGGCGUCCGACGGAAACUGCACAACUUGGGACCGGAAGGCUCGAAGGGUACGUUCGGGGUAGGAGUGAAAUCCUAUAAUCCCGCACGGACCACCGAUGGCGAAAGCACUUCGAGAAAACGGAUCCGACAGUGAGGCACGAAAGCAUGGGUAGCAAACAGGAUUAGAUACCCUGGUAGUCC